CGGACUUUGAGGAUGCCUGGUUUAAAGUUUAAACACUGUCACAGAGGAGAGGUGAUGAGGCUGGUUAUGAAAUGAGCUGCAGACAGGGGAGGGUGUUGAAGUGGAAGUAUGAAGUCAGACUGGUCGGACUGGUCAGACUGGUCCGACUGCCAGACUCCAUUUUACACUUCGACAGAGCAGGAGGAGAAAAACAGGACUGAGAGCAGCUUCUCCUGAUUCUGGCCGGUCUAAAGACUUCAGUAAGGAACCUGGACCCUCAGACACAAAAAGGAGAGCAGAGUCUCCAGUCCCCAGCUGUCUCUGAAGAGUGACCGGUCUGAAGAGGAACCUCCAGACUUCAGAGAUGAACUCAGACAGGAAAGUCCCAGCAGAGAGCAGAGUCCCAGCAGAGAGCAGAGUCUCAGCAGACAAGUGGCUGCGCUCAGUUCUACCAGGUCCAAGACAUGCAUUGUCCCAGAGAAAUGUCCCAGCAGAGAGCAGAGUCCCAGCAGAGAGCAGAGUCCCAGCAGAGAACAGAGUCCCAGCAGAGAGCAGAGUCCCAGCAGAGAGCAGAGUCCCAGCAGAGAACAGAGUCCCA